UGAUGCAAUGUGAUUUUUGCCCAUUGCUCUAAAUGUUAAAGUGAAUAAAUUCAACCAAGAAUGGGUAAAUGAGGAGAGUAAUGAUGACUCUCUUAAGGUAUCCAAAUUCCUCUCCAUCUAAUUAGUGAUGCACAUUAAUGGAUUAACUAGAUUCCCACUAUCCCUAUCUACUAUCUAGCGAAACCACAACCAAGGGAAUUGGCUUGACAUAAUCAACAGGGAAAGAAGACCUUGUUGAGAUUGACUGUAGUCAGAAUUUGUGAAAUGAAUUGAGAGUUGUAUAAUAAGUUGGAAUCAUUUUUGGCACAAAUUAAAUACCACUACUUUUAACAUUAUUUUACUUAUAAUUUUGUGGGGCAGAGACGAGAAAUUUACCCUAUUUUUGGCCUUAAGUCAUGUUUUGAUGGGUCGAUCUGGGCGGAAGACAUUACCAGCUAAGGAUUUUGGAAGGGGAAACACAUCUAUUAAAAGAUAACAUAAAAUAUAAUUGGUGUAGAUAGAACAUUUGUAUUUGGGAUAUCCUAGUGCACAACCACCCUUAUUACCUUUCCCUUCUAAUUUGUAGUUACAUCCAAUCAUUUCUA
rfam:Picea glauca, whole genome shotgun sequence.